CAAAUAGUCGCGGUUUGUCCUAGCUAGCUACAUCUAGCAAGUAGGCCUGUCGUUUUCAGUUCUGCAUCUCGGUUACACGUGUAGCAGGUUCCGGAGUUAAUGCAUUCGGGAACAGACCCUCUCCAUCAGUUGCAACCUGUGGCCUCAAGAGGGCGGCAAAGGACCAGGAAAAGAAAUAUGCCCGCGAUGCACGGCAGCUGGUGAAAAGAGCCUUCUAUGUUGAUGGCGCACUCCGGUUAUUGCCCGCCAGAACUGAAGCCAUGGAUGUACUGAGGCGCAUACAAUGAGAUUUUGGCUGCUUCCAACCGAAGGUUCAUGCAGUACUACCAGGACCCUGUGUGCGUUGCUCAGG